AAAAGAUCAAGUAACAAAUUCAGAGAAGUGGUUUACCACUACUGAAAUAGAAGGUUCACCUGCUUUGAAGUUGGAUCUUUCUCUUUCAAAGCCUAUUAUAUUAAUGCCUCGAAGGACAGACAGCCUUGAUUAUUUGAAGCUUGAUAUUGUCCACAUUACCAUUCAGAACACAUUUCAGUGGAUUUCUGGGAGUAAAACAGACAUUGGUG
rnacentral:misc_RNA from 1 species